AAACAGGGCACUCGAUUCUCAAUCUCUAUUUUUUUUAAUUAUUAUUACACGAUUUAAGAUUUCUUUUGUAGGACUUGAUUGUUCAUUGAUUUGAUUCUUGCUGGCAUGUUAAUGACACUGAACCUAUUUCAACCGCAAACAGGCACACCAUUGUUUUGAUGCAAACUUCGCAGAACAGAGCACCUAGAACGUUUGUGGAUUAUGAUUCUAUCAGUCAAGCUGUGGACAGUAUGCUUUUUGUUUACUGUUGCUUAUAUUAUCUUUGUUUUUGUUGUUGCUCAUAUUAUGAUUUUAUCAGUCAAGCUAUGAAUAUGGGUUUGGAGGUGGAAAACAAAGAAAUCAAAAUUGAGCUUUAUGAUAGGAUACAUAUACAUUUCAUACAUUUUAUAGAGUUCCUAUUGCAUUAAUUUUCUUGAAAAUAGCUUCUAUUGCAGGCAAUGGACUAUACCUUUUGGAAGUUGGCUUGUGGAGUUGAGAAUGAUUUUUAGAUUUGAUUGUGCAUAUGUCUUUUUUUUCUCAAGAAUGUAUGUCCAAAAUUGUUUAUAUUUCUGAGUUGCAUUACAAGGAAAUGAAUUAGUGUGGUUUCACUAUGAUGCACUAGAUGGAAUCCCCUCUCUUCUUCUUUUCCAUCAUUUAAAAGAUUUGACAAUUUUAACAGUAUAUAUUAUUUGCCGUGUGCAGGUAUAUGUGGACUAUAUGAAAGGAAACUUAAAAAGCUCAACCCAGCAACUCAAAACAUCACGUAUGACAUUGGUGUUCUUUACAAUUUUAUUGAUGGCCUUGCAGAUAUGAUUGCCCUUGUUCAAAAGGGACACUUGAAAUGGAUGCCUUUUCACCAUAUGAUAAAAGAUUGUGAUUCUAGGAGGACAUUCACAAGGCCUUGGAGUCAUUGAAGACUGGACAUCAAAAGGGAAGCUUUUAUUUUCUAUUGCAACUAUUUUUUAUUUUCGUUCAGUUCUCAAGUUUAGUUACUUAAUUAUAACAAUUUACAGCUUAAUCAAUCAUCAUUGAUCGGUUGCCAAGAAAUGGAACAAAUAAUCAAACACCAAAUAUUUGAUAAUAUAUCUCUAAAUCAGAUUUGUAAGGUUAGUUACUUGCAAUCACUUUAAGAGUUUUUACAAUUUUGAGGUUCUAAUUUGUCAUAUGAUCUAAGAUUUAUGAUUUAUGAUUGCAUUUUUAUUAUUAUUUUAUUAAAAUUCUUAAAGUGUUGCAUAAUUUAUGCAUGAAUGGAGUUUUGGAUUUUUUUUUAAUUUUUAUUUUAGAAAAGUAACAAUUCUAGAAGUUUAAAACUAAUGGCAAUGUGAUGUUAAAACUUGGAGUUAGGGGCUCCUAUGUGUAAGUUGGAUUUAUAGGAUAUCUGGUAUAGUUACUCUAGAAUCAUUGAGAUAACAUGCAUUUAAGCUAUAUUUGAUUCAUAGGAGGCCUUAUCGUAGAUGUUAAAACAUAAGACACCUUUUUUGCUUUCCAAUCUCCAAUGUUAAACUAUGCAUCAUUUGAAACUUAUGUAGUACCAUGCUAGAAGAGAGUUAUAUAUGAAAAGAGAACAAAUAAUGAAUCUUUUAUAAUUUUAGCAGUUUUCUAUGUUCUUUUUUUUCUCCAUUUUUUGCUUUGUUUUCAAAUCAAAUCAAAGAGCACAAAUAAAUUUUUGUUAGUUGGUCAGUGAGUAUGCUUUGUCUCAUAUUACAUUAUGAAUUACUUGCAAAUUAAUAUUAUCUUACAAAUUAAUCUUUACAGGUAAGGAAGGCUGGGAAUUGUAAUGUCAGAUGGUUUUAUUAGGUUGGAGAAGGGACAAACAAAUAUGUACAAAGAGGAAUUGGAGAGAAAAAGAGAGAAAGAGAGAUUACCCCAUAUUGUACACGUUGUAAAGACCUUGAGGGUCCAUGUUCCAAGUUGAAAAUGGUUUUUGAGACAUUUGACUUUUGAGGCAUUAGUUGCUGCAAUUUGAUUUUAGAGGCACUUUAUGGUUUGUGAGCAUUUUGUUUCUAUCAUAAAACUUAUUGCAUAUUAGAAGGUUA